AUUGAACGCUGGCGGCAGGCCUAACACAUGCAAGUCGAAAGAGUGGCGGACGGGUGAGUAAUGUCUGGGAAACUGCCCGAUGGAGGGGGAUAACUAAUGGAAACAGUAGAUAAUACCGCAUACCAUCGGAUGUGUCCAGAUGGGAUUAGCGAGUAGGUGGGGUAACGGCUCAACUAGGCGAAGAUCCCUAGCUGGUCUGAGAGGAUGACCACACACACUGGAACGAAGACACGGUCCAGACUCCUACGGGAGGCAGCAGUGGGGAAUUUUGCACAAGGGGCGCAAACCUGAUGCAGCCAUGCCGCGUGUAUGAAGAAGGCCUUCGGGUUGUAAAGUACUUUCAGCGAGGAGGCGUUACUCGCAGAAGAAGCACCGGCUAACUCCGUGCCAGCAGCCGCGGUAAUAC
rnacentral:rRNA from 1 species